GACGAACGCUGGCGGCGUGCCUAACACAUGCAAGUCGAACGGCAAAGCAGUAGCUUGCUUCUCUGGAUGAGUGGCGAACGGGUGAGUAACGCGUAGGUAACCUGCCCGGUAGUGGGGGAUAACUUUAGGAAACGAUAGCUAAUACCGCAUAGUAGUAGAUGUUGCAUGACAUUGGCUUAAAAGUUGCACCUGCAUCGCUUCCAGAUGGGGCUGCUGUGUUUUAGCUUGUUGGUGGGGUAAAGCCGCACCAAGGCAACGAUACAUAGCCGGACUGAGACGGGGGUCAGCCACACUGGGACUGAGACCCGGCCCAGGCGCCCUCAGGAAGCAGCAAGAGGGAAACUUCGGCCAUGGGCGGAAAUCUGACCGCACAGCGCCGCGUGAGGGAAGAAGGUCGUCGGGUCGGAAAGGUCUGUUGUAGGGGAAGAACGAGUGUGAGAGUGGGAAGUUCACACUGUGACGGUAUCUGACCAAAAAGCAACGGCUAACUACGUG
rnacentral:rRNA from 1 species